CUCACCCACAGCUCUCCCCCAGCUCCGGGAUCCGCACUGAGUCGGACUAUUGUCGCAAUAUUUCCGUCUGUUUGUCCUAGAGAGGAGGAGACGUCUGUGGAUUAUUCGGCUCCCAGUAAAAACCUCCUGAACGAUGAGGGAAUCCUAACCAGGAGAAACUGGUUGUUUAACAAUGAAGACAACAACUCCCAUGAUCCCACGCAACUUCACAACAUCAUCACACUCCAUCUUUUGUUUUGUUUUGUUUUGAUUGAGAGACCCCUAAUGGCAGAAAUGACAUAUUAUGCACUUAAAAGCUGAUAAUAUGUCCAUUUUCUGUUCACAACUUGUUUCCGCUGCCCCCAAGUGGCCAAAAAAUCAGCUAACGCAGGUUUAAUAUUUUAGUUAAAAGCUUAUUUCUAUUGCUAUGUCCAAUCAAAACACACUUAUAAGAUGGACAGCAGAGGGUUGCAGCUUCUGGGUUUUCAAAAAGUUAAAUGUUACAUUAUGUUUUUUUCCUUCUUUCAGUAAAGAGGGUGCACUUGUUUUCUCUCUCUUGAUGUCACAAUGCAACUGUCAAAGUCAAUAUCAGUCAUGUAUGCAAAUGUAUUUUUGCUGUACCUGUAUAUGCUGAAACUAUUGGCUCCUGUUUAUUUACAAAGGUCUUAUGAAUAGCUUAUUUCUCACCUGGAGAUGCUGACAGGCAUCAGUUGAGGUUCAGAUACUCUGCUCCGUUCUCAUAGAAUAAUUUACAGAAGCUCAAUACUCUGUGUCCCUGAGUAUUUUCAGAGAACUCAUUAAGGGCAUGAUUAAUAUUAGUUGUAUAUGGUUUAGCAGUGUUGCUUUUGAAUAAUACAUUGAUGUUUCAAUUAAUACUUAUAUCUGAUGUAUCUGA